GACCUUUUCUCGUUUCCAGUAUUUUUGGGAGCAUUGAGGUCAAGAAUUUCAACUCCCAAAGGAUGAAAAGUCUGAAUGUUGUUCUCAUCACACAGGAGAAAAAUGUGUCAAAUUGUUCAAAUGCAUCGUUUAAGGAUUUACAGAAGGAGCUGGAUGGAGGCAUUAAAUAUAACUGCAAAGAGGUGUCAGAAGCUCAGCUCCAGUGGUGCAGCUCGAGCCCAGAGACCCCCUGUGGAUCCUGUUGGUGAAAACUAUCAGACGAUUCUGUCGGACAAGGAAAGACGAAACAAUCACCAGCACUAGUAGAACAUUUGUAUAAAGUCUUAGUUUCUUUGUGAUAUCUUUGUAAUUUAAAUAAUGUGUUUUUUGGACCUGUGGGCCAGUUUGACUUGAUGUGAAAUCUGUCUUUGCACGAUUGGUAGCAAUUUAUUUUCCCAAGAUGACAAGGUUUUUGUACAUUUCAGCAAAAAAUUUCUGUACAUCUUUAAUGAAAUUUCUAUGCCUUUAAGAAAAGUAAAGUUGGGGAAAACUGUAUAGUAUUGCUGUCACUAUUUUGUUGUUGUUGUCUGUGCGGGUGCUCCGUCAUCCAGGUCAUGGUCAGUUCAAAACCUGAGCCAAACACAACUGGACUACGUUGAAGAUCUUGAAGAUGUUUCACCUCUCCUCCUCUGAGACACCAUCUUUCACCAACCUACAAUGCUGUUUUGAAUUCUCUCACAAACCAACUGAAUCCCCCGUCCCACCUUGGAACACGUGACCCCAACGACCCACAAACAGCUGGGAGGAUUUACGACUAUAGGAGAAACCAGGUCAGCGACUCGGGUAACGACUCUCAUGUAAUGAUCCACAAAGGGUUACAUUUCUAGCUCCUUACAAACAAAGAUGUUGUCGGUUGGCUGGUCUGGAAGGUUGGACUGACUGCAGGCAGAGGGAGACUCAGGAUAGGGGAUCCUUCUUAAGCGUAAUUCUGCCCCGAGCUGAGAUGGAUGAGGAAGGAGGUUGAAUGGAUGAGAGGAAGGGAAGGGAGGGUGGGUUGUCGAAGAACUGAGACAAACGAUGUGGAGUGGGAUGGCUCAGUACAAGUAGGCUUGUCAGGUGAUUGGAGGUGUGGCUUGGGCAUAGUCCUGCUCCCGAACCUAAGUUAAUAUACAUUAACCCCCAUUUAAGUUUAGAACUGAAGAAGACUUUCAGAGGAGAGGUGAAACAUCUUCAAGAUCUUCAACCAAGUCCAGUUACCUUUGGAUGAAGCUUUGAAUUUUGUUUAGUGUCUUUGAGUGUUCAGAAACCUCCUAAGGCUCAUGAAUUAUUAUUAUUUUAAAACUCUGAUUUACUGUAGGGUUCAAAAGCAACGCUGCUAUCUAAUCACUUUCAACUGACAAUCUCACUCCUACCUGAGGGCAGAAUUUCAUAUUUUUUUUACAAUAAAAUGUUUCA